rnacentral:rRNA from 1 species
GACUAUGUGUUCAACGGCCGCGGUAUACUGACCGUGCAAAGGUAGCGUAAUCAUUUGUCUUUUAAUUGAAGACUAGUAUGAAUGGCAUCACGAGGACUAAUCUGUCUCCCUCCCCCAAUCAGUGAAACUGAUCUCCCCGUGCAGAAGCGGGGAUAAUAUCAUAAGACGAGAAGACCCUGUGGAGCUUCAAAUCAAUAAUCAACUGCUUCACCCACCCCAAAUAAAGGAUACACUCACGCAAACUUGAUUUAGAUUUUCAGCUGGGGCGUCUAUGGAGAAAAAAAAAUCCUCCAUGAAAAUUUAUGCUAAAAGCUACCGCCAUAGGCAUUAAUAUACUUAACUUUAAUUGACCCAAUUUUUGAUCAACGGACCAAGUUACCCCAGGGAUAACAGCGCAAUCCACUUAAAGAGUCCUUAUCGACAAGUGGGCUUACGACCUCGAUGUUGGAUCAGGGCAUCCAAGUGGUGCAGCCGCUACUAAAGGUUCGUUUGUUCAACGAUUAAAGCCCU